ACGUAGGAAGCGAGCGUUAUCCGGAUUUACUGGGUGUAAAGCGCGUGUAGGCGGUUUGGCAAGUUGGAUGUGAAAGCUCCUGGCUUAACUGGGAGAGGUCGUUCAAAACUACCAGACUUGAGGAUGGGAGAGGGAGGCGGAAUUCCGGGUGUAGUGGUGAAAUGCGUAGAUAUCCGGAGGAACACCAGUGGCGAAAGCGGCCUCCUGGCCCGUAACUGACGCUCAGACGCGAAAGCUAGGGGAGCGAACGGGAUUAGAGACCCCGGUAGUCCUAGCUGUAAACGAUGUGAACUUGGCGUUGGCGGGUUUGAAUCCGUCAGUGCCGAAGCAAACGCGAUAAGUUCACCACCUGGGGACUACGGCCGCAAGGUUA
rnacentral:rRNA from 1 species